AAACCGUUGAAAGGGAAGCGAAUGGAGUUAGCAAUUCGCCCUGCCAGAUUCAGUUGUUCGCGCUUCGCAACGCGCGCGCUCUCGAUCCACAUGGACGUGACGUGCACGGGUGCGACGUGCGGACGGCGCACUUCUGGCGGGCGAGCGUCAGCGUCGGUCGCCGAUGGGCUAUAAGGUCGCGAGGAAGGUAGACGUGCCUUCGGGCGCGUUGUUAAGACUCGCGCUCGCAUGGCUCGACGGCGACCGUGGCUCCUUCACACGGAGGCGACGCGUGCCUGGCUGGCGACGCGUGCGAUCGGUCCGGCAUGUCGACCGUGGCGGACGGCACGCCUGUGCGCUCGAACUGCUGCCGGUCGCUCGCACGCUGCUCGCACACUACGCGUCGAAGACGCUGACGACCAUACGGCUCCAUCCGACCCGUCUUGAAACACGGACCAAGGAGUCUAACAUGUCCGCAAGUCUCCGGGUGAUCGAAACCCGUGGGCGCAAUGAAAGUAAAGGUCGUCCUAGACGAUUGAGGUGAGAAGCGCGCUUCGUCUCGACGCGCGCCGCAUCAUCGACCGACCUAUUCUGCUCUCAGAAAGGUUUGAGUAAGAGCGUAUCUGUUGGGACCCGAAAGAUGGUGAACUAUGCCUGAAUAGGGUGAAGCCAGCGGAAACACUGGUGGAAGCUCGUAGCGAUUCUGACGUGCAAAUCGAUCGUCGAAUUUGGGUAUAGCGGCGAAAGACUAAUCGAACCAUCUAGUAGCUGGUUCCCUCCGAA
rnacentral:rRNA from 1 species